UAAGUGAAUAGUGAAAUCUUGUGGCUCAACCAUAAGGCUAUUAUUCAAACUGGCAGACUCGAGAAUGAGAGAGGUCACUGGAAUUCUCUGUGUAGGAGUGAAAUCCGUAGAUAUAGGGAGGAACACCAAUGGCGUAGGCAGGUGACUGGCUCAUUUCUGACACUGAGGCACGAAAGCGUGGGAGCGAACGGGAUUAGAUACCCCGGUAGUCCACGCCGUAAACGAUGGAUGCUA
rnacentral:rRNA from 1 species